CUCUAGCUUUAAAUAAGUAAAAUCUAAAUUAAUUCUUUUACCCUGAAAUGCAAGCUCAAGCCAACCCACAAGACAAUAAAUUGCUAAAAGCAAAAAGAAAAUCCCCCUAUUAAACAUCAGAUAACAAACAAAACUUAAAAUAACUUGAAAUGCAGCAGAUAAUAUUCUCACAAUAGCGAAAACUAGUAAGAGAAACAGAACAUAUAAACGGUUAAUGUUGUGCCAGCAUCCGCGGUUAGACAACUGAUUUAAAAUUUAGAAAUUGGGUAAAAUGGAAGAAAUAAAAAGAAAAUAAAAUAUAAGAAAGAAUAGUCAAAAAUUUAGACCUCCAUAUCAACCUAAUUUUCACUUAAACACUCCAUGAAAGUUAACACCAGAACUAGGAUUAGAGACCCUACUACUGCUAACUGUAAAAACACAAUACCAGGGCAUUACGGGCCACUGCCUAAAACCUAAAGAGCCUGGCGGCUCUUUGACACACCAGGGAAGCUUGUUGAAUAAACGAUAAUCCGCGCUAAAUUUCUCCUUUUCUAGAAAAACUUCAGCCCGUACACCUCCGUUAAAAGUUAACCUUGACAAAAGAGAAAAAGUUAACUAAGGAAAAAUAUUUCAAGAAAACAGGUCAAGGUGCAGCCCAUGAAAAGGUUAUAAUGAGCUACAAUAUACAAAAUCAAUGGACCUAUAAAUAAAAAUUUAUAACGAAACAGUACUUGGUAGUAAUAAAAGUUUAACAUACUUUAAUGAAAUACACUCAGAGAGUGCACAAAUCGCCCGACGCUCCUUCCGAAAACCAUAGAAAGGAUAAGUCGUAACAAAGUAGACGUACUAGAAAGUGUGCCUAAAAUGUA
rnacentral:rRNA from 1 species